UACGUAGGUGGCAAGCGUUGUCCGGAAUUAUUGGGCGUAAAGCGCGCGCAGGCGGUCCUUUAAGUCUGAUGUGAAAGCCCACGGCUCAACCGUGGAAGGUCAUUGGAAACUGGGGGACUUGAGUGCAGAAGAGGAAAGUGGAAUUCCAAGUGUAGCGGUGAAAUGCGUAGAGAUUUGGAGGAACAUCAGUGGCGAAGGCGACUUUCUGGUCUGUAACUGACGCUGAGGCGCGAAAGCGUGGGGAGCAAACAGG
rnacentral:rRNA from 1 species